rnacentral:rRNA from 1 species
GACGAACGCUGGCGGCGUGCUUAACACAUGCCAGUCGAACGGAAAGGCCCUGCUUUUGUGGGGUGCUCGAGUGGCGAACGGGUGAGUAACACGUGAGUAACCUGCCCUUGACUUUGGGAUAACUUCAGGAAACUGGGGCUCAUACCGGAUAGGAGCUCCUGCUGCAUGGUGGGGGUUGGAAAGUUUCGGCGGUUGGGGAUGGACUCGAGGCUUAUCAGCUUGUUGGUGGGGUAGUGGCUUACCAAGGCUUUGACGGGUAGCCGGCCUGAGAGGGUGACCGGCCACAUUGGGACUGAGAGAGGGCCCAGACGCCUACGGGAGGCAGCAGUGGGGAAUAUUGCACAAUGGGCGGAAGCCUGAUGCAGCAACGCCGCGUGCGGGAUGACGGCCUUCGGGUUGUAAACCGCUUUCGCCUGUGACGAAGCGUGAGUGACGGUAAUGGGUAAAGAAGCACCGGCUAACUACGUG